rnacentral:rRNA from 1 species
UAGGGAAUCUUCCGCAAUGGGCGAAAGCCUGACGGAGCAACGCCGCGUGAGUGAUGAAGGUCUUCGGAUCGUAAAACUCUGUUAUUAGGGAAGAACAACUGGGUAAGUAACUAUGCACGUCUUGACGGUACCUAAUCAGAAAGCCACGGCUAACUACGUUCCAGCAGCCGCGGUAAUACGUAGGUGGCAAGCGUUAUCCGGAAUUAUUGGGCGUAAAGCGCGCGGAGGCGGUUUUUUAAUUCGGGUGUGAAAGCCCACGGCUCAACCGUGGAGGGUCGUUGGAAGCUGGAGAUCUUGAGAGCAGAAGAGGAAAGUGGAAUUCCAUGUGUAGCGGUGAGAUGCGCAGAGAUAUGGAGGAACACCAGUGGCGAAGGCGACUUUCUGGUCUGUAACUGACGCUGAUGUGCGAAAGCGUGGGGAUCAAACAGG